CUGCAAACACAUGAUGGCACAUCGCAGGCAGACAGCUGUGCUUGUCUAAACAAUGACACUGAAGGCACGACCCAGUCCGGGGAGCUCCCACACGUAGUCUUCUGCCCACUUUGUGUGGGACAGCUGCAGAACCGGCCUAGAUAGCGCUGCAGAAACUCACACCCCAGUAGAGAAAUUCAAAUAGUUUGGAUCAAACAAGUGACUUAAUCUUGAGCUGCUGUGGAUGGGGGCGGUCAGAGGGGAGCAGGCACUCCAAACAGUUACACUUCAAUCGUCCAGCAGUUCAUGUUUAAACAUGGAGUGACAUUUGGGAAUGCAGAGCUGCACAUUCUGUGCAUUGACUGACGGAGUCAUUGGUGGGACCAGCAGUCAACACCUUCAGCUACAAGCAGACAACUUACUCCAGAGAGGGGGAAUUCUUUAAAUCUACAUUAUGCAACUUUUCAGAAUGUCCAUUUCUGUCGUAUUUUUGACUUCAUGGAGUUAGCCACAUGCUUCUGGGCAAGCGAAGACCUCCCCAUGGCCGCCACCUGGACCUUCCCUCUUCCUCGUACCCUGCUGUAAUCCAGCAAUCAACACGUCUGACCUGGAUGGAGCAUCUGGAGCUGGCCUCUGACAGCCGUGGAGCGACACCCAACAGCUGAGUCCAGUCAGAGGGUGGAACGUGGAGCCAGAGGCCAGAGGUGGAGCCGACAGACAAAACAAAAAAGGAGGAACGCUCUUGUACACGGAUUUAGAGACACUCAUCAGCAGAUCUUCUCUGAGGGUGGAAUUACAGCACAGAGUGACCCAGAGGAGGUGUAAGGAGGUGGCUGCUCCACUUACACCACCUCCUCUGUGCUGUGUUUUUGCCACCACACCCCAAGCAUUCAUUUACGCCCUGCUGGGCCCGUUGAGCCUCCGGAGUGGACAGCUUACUCCAGGAAUCUAUGGGAACUUAAAAAUACUCUCAUCAGCAAUUGUGCGUUACACACAGUCGACUGCAAACGUGCUUUGUUUGGCACCACCACCACCUUUUUAUCGGAGUAAGGAAAACACAAGGCGGGUCAUGGGGGGCCAGCAGAUGCGCGGUUGACGACACAGAGCAAGAAGAUCCCUCAUCGCUACCACCAUCCCAUAGAUGCUUGCAGUUUUUCCAUCUGGUAACUUUUACAAGUGUGCCAGUUUGAGAACCAGGACCCGCGGGCUUCCUGUAAGCAGCCCAUUCAGGACCAGUCAAAAGGUCUUUUGUGAGGUCCUGCAAAGCCCCACCUCUGCAGGACUGAAGGUUUCAAGGAAAAAAAAGAAAAAGGUGAAAGAGACUGCAGUCCAGACAUUUCCUCAUCUUAGUUACAAAAACAGGAACCUGGACUGAGCUGCAGGACAAGUCCAAACUGUCUGAAUACGUCUGGUUUCCUAGUAAUGUUCAACUGAAAUCCUUCUAAGGAUGUAAGACAAGCAAAUUAAUAUUGUUUUAAAUAAACAAGAAAUAUCCUAAAUGCUACUGCUGGUUUCCAUGGAAACGUCUUGAAGAAUCACCUUCGUCGUAAUGAAAUGCCAUGACCUGGAAAAAAUAAAAUUGCACGACUGUUUGAUAGUGAUCCAAA